rnacentral:rRNA from 1 species
GAGUUUGAUCUGGCUCAGGACGAACGCUGCGGCGUGCUUACCACAUGCAAGUCGAACGGAAAGGCCUGGCUUUUGUGGGGUNCUCGAGUGGCGAACGGGUGAGUAACACGUGAGUAACCUGCCCUUGACUUUGGGAUAACUUCAGGAAACUGGGGCUAAUACCGGAUAGGAGCUCCUGCUGCAUGGUGGGGGUUGGAAAGUUUCGGCGGUUGGGGAUGGACUCGCGGCUUAUCAGCUUGUUGGUGGGGUAGUGGCUUACCAAGGCUUUGACGGGUAGCCGGCCUGAGAGGGUGACCGGCCACAUUGGGACUGAGAUACGGCCCAGACUCCUACGGGAGGCAGCAGUGGGGAAUAUUGCACAAUGGGCGGAAGCCUGAUGCAGCAACGCCGCGUGCGGGAUGACGGCCUUCGGGUUGUAAACCGCUUUCGCCUGUGACGAAGCGUGAGUGACGGUAAUGGGUAAAGAAGCACCGGCUAACUACGUGCCAGCAGCCGCGGUGAUACGUAGGGUGCGAGCGUUGUCCGGAUUUAUUGGGCGUAAAGGGCUCGUAGGUGGUUGAUCGCGUCGGAAGUGUAAUCUUGGGGCUUAACCCUGAGCGUGCUUUCGAUACGGGUUGACUUGAGGAAGGUAGGGGAGAAUGGAAUUCCUGGUGGAGCGGUGGAAUGCGCAGAUAUCAGGAGGAACACCAGUGGCGAAGGCGGUUCUCUGGGCCUUUCCUGACGCUGAGGAGCGAAAGCGUGGGGAGCGAACAGGCUUAGAUACCCUGGUAGUCCACGCUGUAAACGAUGUGCGCUGGAUGUUGGGCGGCCUAGCCGCUCAGUGUCGUAGCCAACGCGGUAAGCGCACCGCCUGGGGAGUACGGCCGCAAGGUUGAAACUCAAAUGAAUUGACGGGG